rnacentral:tRNA from 1 species
GGGGGCAUAGCUCAGUUGGGAGAGCGCUUGAAUGGCAUUCAAGAGGUCAGGGGUUCGAAUCCCCUUGUCUCCA